AAGUCGUAACAAGGUUUCCGUAGGUGAACCUGCGGAAGGAUCAUUAUUGAGAGGGGCUUCGGCUCCAGCGGUCUACAGACCGAACUCUUUACCCUAUGUUUACGCAACCUAUGUUGCUUUGGCGAGGGUUGGGUAGUUUCGACUCUAUCUUCGAGCAACCAAUUAUCUCGCCAGAGAUCUUGAAAAACCCUCUCUCGUAACAAUGUAGUCUGAGUUAUUAAGCAAUUGUCUAAAACUUUCAACAACGGAUCUCUUGGUUCUG
rnacentral:misc_RNA from 1 species